UGGAUCCAGACUUUGAUUAUGGCUCAGGAUGAACGCUAGCUACAGGCUUAACACAUGCAAGUCGAGGGGCAGCAUGACGAUAGCUUGCUAUUGUUGAUGGCGACCGGCGCACGGGUGAGUAACGCGUAUCCAACCUGCCCUUGUCCAUCGGAUAACCCGUCGAAAGGCGGCCUAACACGAUAUGCAGUCCACAGAAGGCAUCUGACGCGGACGAAAUGUAAAGGAGAAGGAUGGGGAUGCGUCUGAUUAGCUUGUUGGCGGGGUAACGGCCCACCAAGGCGACGAUCAGUAGGGGUUCUGAGAGGAAGGUCCCCCACAUUGGAACUGAGACACGGUCCAAACUCCUACGGGAGGCAGCAGUGAGGAAUAUUGGUCAAUGGGCGAGAGCCUGAACCAGCCAAGUAGCGUGCAGGAAGACGGCCCUAUGGGUUGUAAACUGCUUUUAUGCGGGGAUAAAGUGAGCCACGUGUGGCUUAUUGCAGGUACCGCAUGAAUAAGGACCGGCUAAUUCCGUGCCAGCAGCCGCGGUAAUACGGAAGGUCCGGGCGUUAUCCGGAUUUAUUGGGUUUAAAGGGAGCGUAGGCCGUCUGGUAAGCGUGUUGUGAAAUGUCGGGGCUCAACCUGGGCAUUGCAGCGCGAACUGUCAGACUUGAGUGCGCGGGAAGUAGGCGGAAUUCGUCGUGUAGCGGUGAAAUGCUUAGAUAUGACGAAGAACUCCGAUUGCGAAGGCAGCCUGCUGUAGCGCAACUGACGCUGAAGCUCGAAAGCGUGGGUAUCGAACAGGAUUAGAUACCCUGGUAGUCCACGCGGUAAACGAUGGAUGCUCGCUGUUUGCGUCUGACGUAAGCGGCCAAGCGAAAGCGUUAAGCAUCCCACCUGGGGAGUACGCCGGCAACGGUGCAACUCAAAUGAAUUGACGGA
rnacentral:rRNA from 2 species